CAGCAGUAGCCGCGGUAAUACAGAGGGUGCGAGCGUUAAUCGGAUUUACUGGGCGUAAAGCGUGCGUAGGCGGCUUUUUAAGUCGGAUGUGAAAUCCCUGAGCUUAACUUAGGAAUUGCAUUCGAUACUGGGAAGCUAGAGUAUGGGAGAGGAUGGUAGAAUUCCAGGUGUAGCGGUGAAAUGCGUAGAGAUCUGGAGGAAUACCGAUGGCGAAGGCAGCCAUCUGGCCUAAUACUGACGCUGAGGUACGAAAGCAUGGGGAGCAAACAGGAUUAGAUACCCCAGUAGUCCCUGUCUCUUAUAC
rnacentral:rRNA from 1 species